rnacentral:rRNA from 1 species
GACGAACGCUGGCGGCGUGCUUAACACAUGCAAGUCGAACGAUGAACCGGAGCUUGCUCCGGGGAUUAGUGGCGAACGGGUGAGUAACACGUGGGCAACCUGCCCCAGACACCGGGAUAACCUUCCGAAAGGAUGGCUAAUACCGGAUACGACCACUUCGGGCAUCCGACGGUGGUGGAAAGGAUUCUGGUCUGGGAUGGGCCCGCGGCCUAUCAGCUUGUUGGUGGGGUAAUGGCCUACCAAGGCGACGACGGGGUAGCCGGCCUGAGAGGGCGACCGGCCACACUGGGACUGAGACGCGGCCCAGACUCCUACGGGAGGCAGCAGUGGGGAAUAUUGCGCAAUGGGCGAAAGCCUGACGCAGCGACGCCGCGUGAGGGACGAAGGGUCUUCGGAUUGUAAACCUCUUUCAGCAGGGACGAAGCGAAAGUGACUGUACCUGCAGAAGAAGCACCGGCUAACUACGUGCCAGCAGCCGCGGUAAU